rnacentral:rRNA from 1 species
GCCGGUACAAAGAGAAGCGAGGCUGUGAAGCGGAGCAAAUCUCAAAAACCGGUCCCAGUUCGGAUUGUAGGCUGCAACUCGCCUACAUGAAGUCGGAGUUGCUAGUAAUCGCGGAUCAGAAUGCCGCGGUGAAUGCGUUCCCGGGUCUUGUACACACCGCCCGUCACACCAUGGAAGUUGGGGCGCCGAAGUUGCCUAAGAAAUAAGGUACCUAAGGCGAAACCAAUGACUGGGGUGAAGUCGUAACAAGGUACC